GGCCUAGAUAGAUGGUCCAGUACUUUCAAAUGAGGAAACAGAAAAGACUUGGAAGCAUUUAAAAAAAGAAAAAAAAAGUGAUAUUGCAGGCCAAGAUCACCCCUUGAGGAUCAUUGUCAGGGCUGCCACAAGCGGGGCAGCCUUGUUUUCCUGCCUCAGACACCU